GGCGGUGUUUUAGUCUAGUUAGAGGAACCUGUUUUAUAAACGAUACAACACGCAUUAUCUUACUUGUUUUAGUAAUUCAGCUUGUAUACCGUCAUUAUAAGAUAAUUUAGUAUAAAAUAUUGUUAAAAUCGUAUUUUUGAGUAUAUUAGAUCAAGGUGCAGCUUAUGAAUAAGUAAAUAUGGGUUACAAUAAAAUUUAUUUAAUAUGAAUCAAGUAUUUAAAUAUAUUUAUGAAGGAGGAUUUAAUUGUAAGAAAAGAAAUAAUAAGAUUUUCUGAUAGAAGCUCUAAAUUAU
rnacentral:rRNA from 1 species